GCGGGCCUGUAGCUCAGCUAGGUAGAGCACUCGGCUCUUAACCGAGGCGUCAGGGGUUCGAACCGAAGGCCAGCG
rnacentral:tRNA from 1 species